UUAGCCCUAAACCUAAAUAGUUAUUUAACAAAACUAUUUGCCAGAGAACUACUAGCCACAGCUUAAAACUCAAAGGACUUGGCGGUACUUUAUAUCCAUCUAGAGGAGCCUGUUCUAUAAUCGAUAUACCCCGUUCUACCUCACCAUCUCUUGCUAAUUCAGUCUAUAUACCGCCAUCUUCAGCAAACCUUAAAAAAGAAACACAGUAAGCAAGAUAAUUACCAUAAAAACGUUAGGUCAAGGUGUAACCCAUGAGAUGGAAAGUAAUGGGCUACAUUUUCUCUCAGAGAACAUUCACGUUAUCCUUUAUGAAACUUAAAGGACCAAGGAGGAUUUAGUAGUAAAUUAAGAGUAGAGAGCUUAAUUGAAUAGAGCAAUGAAGUACGC
rnacentral:rRNA from 2 species